rnacentral:rRNA from 1 species
GUUGACCUCGGAUCAGGUAGGAAUACCCGCUGAACUUAAGCAUAUCAAUAAGCGGAGAAAAG